UAUACAUGACUCUGCGCAUAUCAAUAAGCGGAGGAAAAGAAACUAACAAGGAUUCCCUUAGUAACGGCGAGUGAAGCGGGAAGAGCUCAAAUUUGAAAUCUUAAAGGGUUUCCCUUUACGAAUUGUAGUUUAAAGAAGUGUUUUCUGUUGAGGUUUUGGUAAAAGUUCUUUGGAAUAGGACAUCAUAGAGGGUGAGAAUCCCGUAUUUGACCAUUAUUUUCAGCUUUGUGAUACGCUUUCAAAGAGUCGGAUUGUUUGGGAAUGCAGUCCAAAAUGGGUGGUAAAUUUCAUCUAAAGCUAAAUAUUGGCGAGAGACCGAUAGCGAACAAGUACCGUGAGGGAAAGAUGAAAAGAACUAUGAAAAGAGAGUUAAACAGUACGUGAAAUUGUCAAAAGGGAAGCGUUUGACACCAGUGUUGUUUUCCUGAAAAUCAAUUAAAGAACUGUUUAUGCUAAGUUGUUUAGACUUUAUCAGCUAACUGUUUAGUUUUGAGCUUUUCUUUAAUGCACUUUUCAGUUAACAAGUCAACAUCAAUUUCUUUUGCUGUAAAAAAGCUUGAGGAAGGUGGCUUGAGAUUCGUCUUAAGUGUUUAUAGCCUCUUGCCUAUGCAGUCGGAGAGAUUGAGGUCUGCAGCGUAGAUCCUUCGGGGCUAAAUGCAUUUGUGCUAAGUUAUAGCAUUUUAUAGACAACUUGUUGACUAUGAUUUGUCUUGUAGCUUACUCGCUUAUGCUAUUUUACCUACGCUUAGGAUGUUGACAGCAGUAUAGACUGU
rnacentral:rRNA from 1 species